rnacentral:miRNA from 1 species
GGCUGGCCCAAAAGUUCGUUCGGGUUUUGAUGUUAUGGAAAAACCCAAACAAAACUUUUGGCCAACCCAAU